GUAUCAGAUAAUGAGAUAUCGGCGAUUAUCGGUCACAUAAUUAAAGAACAGUUUCUGUGAAGAGGAAGCGAAGGGUAGGGAGUAAUACAUAAAAAUCGAUUGCGCAGUCAUGAGCAUUCGUUUCUGGAAUAUCGUUGGUGCCUGGUGAUAGAUUUUGUACUGAGAAGUCAGGUAACCAAAGUUGAUCCACCAAGGAUGAAAUCAAUUAUUGUCUUGCUGAUGAUCAUUGCCGUCGUAUUCUCAAUGACGGUCGUGGCGCAGGAUGAAAAUGUUACACCGUCAGAGCUUUGUUUUAAAGGAUUUUGUCCUCUCGACAAACCUUGCUUGAUAAGAAAUUGUACCGAAGGCAGUUGUUCAUGGUUAUGUGAGCCAGAAUCUUAAAAAUUCUAAAUUCACGAGCCGGAAGGAAGUACUAUAUCGUAUUUUCAAUCCUAUAUGCUGUAUUCUUAUGUUUUUUGUAAUUAAUAAAAAAUGUAGACAAUCGUUGAUAGAUAAUCACUGUGUGCUUAAGCGAUCUUUAGAUGAUCAAUAAUGUUGUACAAUAUUAAACACAAAAUAAUACAUACUCUACGCAAAUAA